UACGUAGGUGGCAAGCGUUAUCCGGAAUUAUUGGGCGUAAAGCGCGCGUAGGCGGCGAGAUUAGUCUGAUGUGAAAGCCCUCGGCUCAACCGAGGCGGGUCAUUGGAAACUGUUUCGCUUGAGUGCAGAAGAGGAGAGUGGAAUUCCAUGUGUAGCGGUGAAAUGCGCAGAGAUAUGGAGGAACACCAGUGGCGAAGGCGGCUCUCUGGUCUGUAACUGACGCUGAGGCUCGAAAGCGUGGGGAGCAAACAGG
rnacentral:rRNA from 1 species